CUCAGGAUAGCAAUUUAGGUGGUUUAAGAUCAGACCUGUCUGACUACAAAGCCACCAGGGCAAACUGGAUGAGACUGAUGUAUAAACUGUAUCCGGUUCUCAAAGGCAAGCACAUCAUCAAAGUUCAGCCCUCUCCUUGCUCCAGUUCAUAUCUGAAGAAACAGAGGCACCUGAAGUCAUAUAUUUCCCUGAUAAAUCAUUUGCCAAAUUGUCCUCCCAUUAGCACAUGAGACAGAUGCACCAAGGCAGGAACCAGCCCUCAUGCAUGAGAGGGUCUGGCGCCUGGCUAAGGCUCAAUGUGCUAAAUGAAGAAAUAGCGGGAACAAUGGGCAAUAGAUCUGUGAUCCUCUGUCCCUCCACACACAUCCUUAGAUUAAAAGGAUCAUGGAGUCCCAGGUUCUGAAAAUAAAGCAGUAAGUAUGUAGCCAUCCAUUUCAUCCAACACUCAGAAGUGCAGUCUCUUACCACAAUAUCCUUUGGACAAGGCAGUGUUCAUCUCACAGGGCACCUCUCCACUGGUGAGAAAUGGAUGGUCUCCCAAAGCAGGCAGUUGUGUGUUCCAGUGGCCUGGCUACAUGGGAGAAAACAGUGCAGGCUUUAGAGGUGAAAGGCCAGAAUUUGCAAGUUGGCUGUACCACCAUUUGCCUGCAUAUUUUGAGGCAAGUUUCUUAGUAUGCCUGAAAUGUGUUAGAGAAAUUUUUUCUUUGAUGCUCAGCUGUAACUAAAAGAAGAUUGUCUUUGAAAUAGAAAUGAUGCCAAGCACUUCCACAGUUUUGGGGAGAAUUGAAUGGUAUACACAGACAACAGCUCUUAACAAAUCUAUAAGGAAUGUUGUGGAGUUUCAAUUACAGGCUCUGCAUUUACAAGAAGUCUGCUGGCUCAUGCAAAUCCAUCCUGAUCAAAUAAACUUCCUAAGGGUUGGUGUCUGAAGGAUCUGCUUAACAACUGAGGACAUUCAGAAUAUGGGAAAAAAUGGUAAUGUUUGUAUAACAUUUUGAAGUACAAAAAGCAUUUUAUAUUUGUU
rnacentral:lncRNA from 1 species